rnacentral:rRNA from 1 species
AACGAACGCUGGCGGCAUGCCUAACACAUGCAAGUCGAACGAAGUCUUCGGACUUAGUGGCGCACGGGUGCGUAACGCGUGGGAAUCUGCCCUUGGGUGCGGAAUAACUUCUCGAAAGGGAUGCUAAUACCGCAUAAUGUCGUAAGACCAAAGAUUUAUCGCCCAAGGAUGAGCCCGCGUAAGAUUAGCUAGUUGGUGGGGUAAAAGCCUACCAAGGCGACGAUCUUUAGCUGGUCUGAGGGGAUGAUCAGCCACACUGGGACUGAGACACGGCCCAGACUCCUACGGGAGGCAGCAGUGGGGAAUAUUGGACAAUGGGCGAAAGCCUGAUCCAGCAAUGCCGCGUGAGUGAUGAAGGCCCUAGGGUUGUAAAGCUCUUUACCAGGGAUGAUAUGACAGUACCUGGAGAAUAAGACUCCGGUCUAACUCCGUGCCAGCAGCCGCGGU